GACAGAGGUCCCGAGCGUUAGGCGGAAUCACUGGGCUUAAAGCGUGUGUAGGCGGAGUGCUAAGUACCUUGUGAAAUCUCCACCGCUCACCGGGGAGGGGCCGUUGGAUACUACGGAUCUGGAGUUCGGCAGAGGACCAUGGAAUUUCGGGUGUAGCGGUGGAAUGCGUAGAUAUCGGGAGGAACACCCGUGGCGAAAGCGGCGCACUGGACCAUAACUGACGCUGAUGCGCGAAAGCUAGGGGAGCAAACAGG
rnacentral:rRNA from 1 species